rnacentral:rRNA from 1 species
GCCGGAGGCAUAUCUCCCUGCAGUUCUCGCCUGGUUUCCAGGGAUGAGCCUGGCCAGUACCUUGAUGGGAGACCUCCUAGGGAAAACUACUGCAAGGUUGCUGCUGGAA